rnacentral:rRNA from 1 species
UCGAGCGGCGGACGGGUGAGUAAUGCCUAGGAAAUUGCCCUGAUGUGGGGGAUAACCAUUGGAAACGAUGGCUAAUACCGCAUAAUGCCUACGGGCCAAAGAGGGGGACCUUCGGGCCUCUCGCGUCAGGAUAUGCCUAGGUGGGAUUAGCUAGUUGGUGAGGUAAGGGCUCACCAAGGCGACGAUCCCUAGCUGGUCUGAGAGGAUGAUCAGCCACACUGGAACUGAGACACGGUCCAGACUCCUACGGGAGGCAGCAGUGGGGAAUAUUGCACAAUGGGCGCAAGCCUGAUGCAGCCAUGCCGCGUGUGUGAAGAAGGCCUUCGGGUUGUAAAGCACUUUCAGUCGUGAGGAAGGUAGUGUAGUUAAUAGCUGCAUUAUUUGACGUUAGCGACAGAAGAAGCACCGGCUAACUCCGUGCCAGCAGCCGCGGUAAUACGGAGGGUGCGAGCGUUAAUCGGAAUUACUGGGCGUAAAGCGCAUGCAGGUGGUUUGUUAAGUCAGAUGUGAAAGCCCGGGGCUCAACCUCGGAAUUGCAUUUGAAACUGGCAGACUAGAGUACUGUAGAGGGGGGUAGAAUUUCAGGUGUAGCGGUGAAAUGCGUAGAGAUCUGAAGGAAUACCGGUGGCGAAGGCGGCCCCCUGGACAGAUACUGACACUCAGAUGCGAAAGCGUGGGGAGCAAACAGGAUUAGAUACCCUGGUAGUCCACGCCGUAAACGAUGUCUACUUGGAGGUUGUGGCCUUGAGCCGUGGCUUUCGGAGCUAACGCGUUAAGUAGACCGCCUGGGGAGUACGGUCGCAAGAUUAAAACUCAAAUGAAUUGACGGGGGCCCGCACAAGCGGUGGAGCAUGUGGUUUAAUUCGAUGCAACGCGAAGAACCUUACCUACUCUUGACAUCCAGAGAACUUUCCAGAGAUGGAUUGGUGCCUUCGGGAACUCUGAGACAGGUGCUGCAUGG